UACAGAGGUGGCAAGCGUUGUUCGGAAUUACUGGGCGUAAAGGGCGAGUAGGUGGCCAUCUAAGUCAGACGUGAAAUCCCCCCGGCUUAACCUGGGAACUGCGUCUGAUACUGGACGGCUUGAGUAUGGGAGAGGAAUGUAGAAUUCCAGGUGUAGCGGUGAAAAUGCGUAGAUAUCUGGAGGAACACCGGUGGCGAAGGCGGCAUCCUGGACCGGCAUUGACGCUGAGGCGCGAAAGCUAGGGGAGCAAACGGGG
rnacentral:rRNA from 1 species